rnacentral:rRNA from 1 species
GACGAACGCUGGUGGCGUGCCUGAUACAUGCAAGUCGAGCGGAAGUUGGAGAGCUUGCUCUUCAACUUUAGCGGCGGACGGGUGAGUAACACGUGGGCAACCUGCCCUGCAGAUCGGGAUAACUCCGGGAAACCGGUGCUAAUACCGAAUAGUUUUCGCCACCUCCUGGUGGCGUACGGAAAGACGGUUUCGGCUGUCACUGCAGGAUGGGCCCGCGGCGCAUUAGCUAGUUGGUGGGGUAACGGCCCACCAAGGCGACGAUGCGUAGCCGACCUGAGAGGGUGAUCGGCCACACUGGGACUGAGACACGGCCCAGACUCCUACGGGAGGCAGCAGUAGGGAAUCUUCCGCAAUGGACGAAAGUCUGACGGAGCAACGCCGCGUGAGUGACGAAGGUUUUCGGAUCGUAAAACUCUGUUGUGAGGGAAGAACAAGUACCAACUAACUACUGGUACCUUGACGGCACCUCACCAGAAAGCCACGGCUAACUCUGUGCCAGCCGCCGCAGUAAUAC